GAUGAACGCUGGCGGCGUGCCUAACACAUGCAAGUCGAGCGAUUCUCUUCGGAGAAGAGCGGCGGACGGGUGAGUAACGCGUGGGUAACCUGCCCUGUACACACGGAUAACAUACCGAAAGGUAUGCUAAUACGGGAUAACAUAAGAAAUUCGCAUGUUUUUCUUAUCAAAGCUCCGGCGGUACAGGAUGGACCCGCGUCUGAUUAGCUAGUUGGUGAGGUAACGGCUCACCAAGGCGACGAUCAGUAGCCGACCUGAGAGGGUGAUCGGCCACAUUGGAACUGAGACACGGUCCAAACUCCUACGGGAGGCAGCAGUGGGGAAUAUUGCACAAUGGGCGAAAGCCUGAUGCAGCAACGCCGCGUGAGCGAUGAAGGCCUUCGGGUCGUAAAGCACUGUCGAGAGGGAGAAAGGGAAACGUUAGAUCUAUCUCUGGAGGAAGCACGGGCUAAGUUCGUGCCAGCAGCCGCGGUAACUGUAGUCGU
rnacentral:rRNA from 1 species